rnacentral:rRNA from 1 species
UACGUAGGAGGCAAGCGUUGUCCGGAAUUACUGGGCGUAAAGCGCGUGUAGGUGGUGGGACAAGUCUGCUGUGAAGGCGCCUGGCUUAACCGGGCGAGGUCGGCGGAAACUGUCCGACUCGAGGACGGUAGAGGGGGGUGGAAUUCCCGGUGUAGCGGUGAAAUGCGUAGAUAUCGGAAGGAACACCAGUGGCGAAAGCGGCUUCCUGGUCCAGCACCGACGUUCAGGCACGAAAGCGUGGGGAGCAAACAGG